GCAAGAAAAGCUGUAAAAUGAGGCAAAACUCACUUAACAAAUGUUUCAUUUAGCAACAUCAGUUUUGGGCUCAGUUGUGGUAGUACGUCAAGCACUACCUGUAUGUGUCCAUGUUGUUCUCUUGGCAAUAAUGCAAAAAACGAUUUGCAAUUUCCUUUAAUCCUGGACACUGUACAUGUUUUCUGAGCUCCCACUAUGGUCUCCCAUUCAGGCUAGCACAACUUGAGUGUUUAGCAUCCAGGCCUAAGAUAAGAGCAAGCCAUCUAAAUUUACAUCACCAAAAGUAAGAACAGAUGAAUGAAUACAUAAAGAAAUUCAUUAAACUGUCAUCUG